ACGGAAGGCAGCAGUGGGGAAUAUUGCGCAAUGGGCGCAAGCCUGAUGCAGCGAUGCCGCGUGAGGGAAGAAGGUUUUCGGAUUGUAAACCUCUGUCAACAGGGACGAAAAUGACGGUACCUGUGAAGGAAGCUCCGGCUAACUACGUGCCAGCAGCCGCGGUAAUACGUAGGGAGCAAGCGUUAUCCGGAAUUACUGGGUGUAAAGGGAGUGUAGGCGGGACUGUAAGUCAGAUGUGAAAUAUGCCGGCUCAACUGGCAGACUGCAUUUGAGACUGCGGUUCUUGAGUGAAGUAGAGGUAAGCGGAAUUCCUAGUGUAGCGGUGAAAUGCGUAGAUAUUAGGAGGAACAUCAGUGGCGAAGGCGGCUUACUGGGCAUUAACUGACGCUGAGGCUCGAAAGCGUGGGGAGCAAACAGGAUUAGAUACCCUGGUA
rnacentral:rRNA from 1 species